rnacentral:rRNA from 1 species
UACGAAGGGCGCAAGCGUUACUCGGAAUUACUGGGCGUAAAGGGUGCGUAGGUGGUUUUUUAAGUCCGUUGUGAAAGCCCCGGGCUCAACCUGGGAAUGGCGAUGGAUACUGGCGGGCUAGAGUGCGGUAGAGGAGAGUGGAAUUCCCGGUGUAGCAGUGAAAUGCGUAGAGAUCGGGAGGAACAUCAGUUGCGAAGGCGGCUCUCUGGACCAGCACUGACACUGAGGCACGAAAGCGUGGGGAGCAAACAGG